AACGAACGCUGGCGGCAGGCUUAACACAUGCAAGUCGAGCGCCCCGCAAGGGGAGCGGCAGACGGGUGAGUAACGCGUGGGAAACUACCCUUUGGUACGGAAUAACACAGAGAAAUUUGUGCUAAUACCGUAUGUGCCCUUCGGGGGAAAGAUUUAUCGCCAUAGGAUGUGCCCGCGUAGGAUUAGCUAGUUGGUGGGGUAAAGGCUCACCAAGCCAACGAUCUGUAGCUGGUCUGAGAGGACGACCAGCCACACUGGAACUGAGACACGGUCCAGACUCCUACGGGAGGCAGCAGUGGGGAAUAUUGCACAAUGGGCGAAAGCCUGAUGCAGCGACGCCGCGUGAGGGAUGAAGGCCUUCGGGUUGUAAACCUCUUUCAGCAGGGAAGAAGCGAAAGUGACGGUACCUGCAGAAGAAGCACCGGCUAACUACGUG
rnacentral:rRNA from 1 species